GGGGAUGUUUACAAUCGAUGGACAGAUUCUUUAUGGAACUGCCAGCCGUGCUGAUUAUCACGUUAAACUUAUCAAAACAUACAAAUGCAAACUCAUUUGUCGCUAAGGUAAAGAACGCUUUUAGUUCUCUAUCAUUAGCUCCCGCAGUCGUCUAACUUUAGACAACUGCCAUCCGCCAGCCUUAGUCCGGGCGGCUGAACCGGGUGUCAUUCACCGGACUCGACCAUUGGGGUGUCCAAACUCAUUGGUUUAAAGUUACCUGGAACCUAGCUCAAGAGCUUUUGAUCGGCUUUUUACCUUGAGCUUAGCUACCUAAACCGAUCUAAGCUGGUACACGGAUCCUAAAAUUUUUGGCCAGACAGGGGUGCAAUACCCCUCAUCUCCACCA
rnacentral:tmRNA from 1 species